UGGGGUUUAGGGAGAAGAUGGGUUCAAAGCUGAGGAUAGUCUGGGGAUCACUAUCCAGCUUCUGGAAAAGAGAGGGUGACUUUGCCAGUCAACUGCCAGCUCCCCAGCCAUCAGCC
rnacentral:lncRNA from 1 species